AAAGCUGUGCAGCGUACCUUUCCAGGAAUCUAUUCCUUGUGUCUCUGGGAAUUUGCUUCCUAAGUCGCCCGCCUUGACCAGGAACUGCCAGCAGCCCUCCUGCAAUCAUGGCCAACCUUACAGCUGAUCCGUCCUACAUCUACCUCUGGGGAGAUGAGCAGAAGAUGCUCAAGAUCCGGAACGAGCCGUUUGACCCUAAGAAGGCGUGCUUUGUGCCGGACCCGGAGGAGGUGUUUGUUCGGGCGGAGAUCCAGUCCAUCAAGGACGACAUGGUCACUGUCAAGACAGCCAACGGCAAGACCCUGACGGUGAAAAAUGAGCAGACCCAGCAGAUGAACCCGCCGAAGUUCAACCUGAUGGAAGACAUGGCCAACAUGACGUACCUGAACGAGUCGUCUGUGCUCAACAACCUGCGCGAGCGCUACUACAACACCAUGAUCUACACGUACUCUGGUCUGUUCUGCGUGGUGAUCAACCCAUACCAGCGGCUGCCGAUCUACACGGACUGGGUGGUGAGCCAGUACAAGGGCAAGAGGAAGACUGAGAUGCCCCCUCAUCUGUUCGCCGUGGCAGACUCUGCCUACACCAACAUGCUGCAAGAGCACGAGAACCAGUCCAUGUUGAUCACUGGUGAGUCUGGUGCCGGUAAGACUGAGAACACCAAGAAGGUUAUCUCCUACUUCGCCCUGGUUGCUGCUCUGGGUGGCACCAAGCAAGUUGAGGAAGGAGGAAAGAAGAAGGCUACUCUGGAGGACCAGGUCGUGCAGACCAACCCUGUCCUCGAGGCCUUCGGUAACGCCAAGACCACCAGGAACAACAACUCCUCCCGUUUCGGUAAAUUCAUCCGUAUUCACUUUGGGUCCAACGGAAAGCUGGCCGGUGCCGACAUUGAGGGCUAUCUGCUGGAGAAGUCUCGUGUGAUCUCCCAGCUUCCUGCAGAGCGUGGGUACCACAUCUUCUACCAGCUGCUGUCCCAGGCCUUCCCACAAAACCUGGAGCAACUGCUUAUUGCCGGUCAUGGAGCUAAGGAGUUCAAGUUCCUGUCUAUCGGUGAAACGACGAUCCCGACCAUGGAUGACAUGGAGGAGAUGAAGCUCACAGAUGAGGCGUUUGAUGUGCUUGGCUUCACGCAGGACGAGAAGUUCGGCGUCUACCGUCUCACCGCCGGCAUCAUGCACUUCGGCAACAUGAAGUUCAAACAGAGGCCGCGCGAGGAGCAGGCAGAGUGCGACGGCACAGAGGCGUCAGAGAAGACGGCCCAUCUUUUCGGCAUACCGAGCUCCGAGCUGCAGAAGGGUCUGCUGAAGCCUCGAGUGAAGGUCGGUAACGAGUAUGUCACCAAGGGACAGAACUCGGACCAGUGCACCUACGCAGUGGGCGCCCUGGCCAAGGCCAUCUACAACAGGCUGUUCUUCUGGCAGAUCAAGCGUCUGAACAAGACACUGCUGUCACCUAUGCAGAGGUCCUACUUCAUUGGUGUGCUGGACAUCGCUGGCUUCGAGAUCUUUGAUUUCAACACCUUCGAGCAGCUGUGCAUCAACUUCACCAACGAGAAGCUGCAGCAGUUCUUCAACCACCACAUGUUCGUGCUGGAACAGGAGGAGUACAAGAAGGAAGGCAUUGAAUGGGAGUUCAUCGAUUUCGGUAUGGACUUGGAGGCCUGUAUCGCUCUCAUUGAGAAGCCUCUCGGCAUCCUGUCCAUCCUGGAGGAGGAGUGCAUGUUCCCCAAGGCCACGGACAAGUCCUUCAUGUCCAAGCUGUACGACAACCACCUGGGAAAGUCACCCAACUUCCAGAAGCCCAAGCCGUCCAAGUCCAAGUACGAGGCUCACUUCGCCCUGGCUCACUACGCUGGAACGGUGCCAUAUAACGUGGACCACUGGCUGGAGAAGAACAAGGAUCCCAUCAACGAGACGGUGGUGCAGUGCUUCCAGAAGUCAAACAUGGGCCUCAUGGUCAUGCUGUUUGAGGACUUUGUCACUGCUGAGUCAGCGGGCAAGGGUGGUGGUGGCAAGAAGGGCAAGAAGAGUGCUGCCUUCCAGACUGUGUCCUCUGUGCACAGGGAAUCACUGAACAAGCUGAUGACCACCCUGAGGAACACCUUCCCUCACUUCGUGCGCUGCAUCAUCCCCAACGAGAAGAAGGCAGCGGGAGUGAUUGACUCUGUGUUGGUGAUGCACCAGCUGACCUGUAACGGUGUACUUGAGGGCAUCCGUAUCUGUAGGAAGGGCUUCCCCAACAGGACUCCGUAUGCUGAGUUCAAGCAACGGUAAGUUACCAGAAGUUGUGCUACUAAUAGUAAACUUCUGUUUUGUUUUAAAGUCAGGUAAAUGGGUGCUGCCAUGUUGGUUGGUGACCCCAUGGGUUGACCAUAUAUACAUGUAUCUUGAUCUGUAGGAAGUAGGAAGUAUGUACUAGGAAGUAGUAGGAAUUACAUGUGUGUAGAAAAUGUUCGAGAUGACCGUUUGGGCCAGAUCAUCAAGAACAUCCAGGCGCGCGCUCGGGGCAGGCACAUGCGGGCCAAGUUUGUCGUCAUGGUGGAACAGAGGGAGGCCAUGCUUUGCCUGCAGCGUAACAUUCGCAAGUGGCUCGGUCUGCGCAACUGGAUGUGGUGGAAGCUGUACACUAAGGUCAAGCCCCUGCUGCAGGGUGCCCGUGCCGAGGAGGAGAUGAAGAAGAAGCUGGAGGAGCUCGAGCUGAUCGUGGAGAAGGCUGAGAAGGAGGAGAAGCUGCGGAAGGAGCUGGAGCAGAAGCUCAACUCCCUCACCAACGAGAAGAACGACCUCGUCAUCCAGCUUCAAGCCGAGCAAGACGUUGUUGCUGACUCUGAGGAGAGGAACGCCAUGCUGAUCAAGAGCAAGGCUGACCUGGACGCGCAGCUGGAGGAGGUCAAGGAGAACCUGGAGGAGGCAGAAGAGAACAACCAGCAGCUCAACCACACCCGCCGCAAGCUGGAGAACGAGGUGAGUGAGCUGAAGAAGGAUGUUGAGGAUCUGGAGAGGAACCUCGCCCGGUCGGAGAAGGACAAGCGAGCGGUGGAGGACAAGGUUCGAGUGAUGGGAGAAGAGAUCGCCGACAUGGACAACACCAUCAAACGCCUCACCCGCGAGAAGAAGAAACUCGAGGAAAUCCAAGCUCAAACUCUGGAUGACCUUCAGUCGGAGGAAGACAAGACGAACCACCUGAACAAGCUCAAGGUCAAGCUGGAGCAGCAGAUAGAAGAGCUCCAAGACAUGCUGGACGCGGAGAAGAAGGUCCGCUCGGAUGCUGAGAGGGCGAAGAAGAAGCUGGAGGCUGACCUGAAGCAGAGUCUGGACAGCUUAGGGGAGCUCGAGAGGCUCAAGGUGGAGCAUGAAGAGAAGCUCAAGAAGCGCGACUUCGAGCUGAGUGCCGUGCAGAACAGGCUGGAGGAUGAGCUGAGCAUGGUCGCACAGCUGCAGAAGAAGAUCAAGGAGCUCACGGGUCGCACAGAAGAGCUGGAAGAGGAACUUGAAAACGAGAGGAAUGCCAGGGCCAAGGUGGAGAAGUCUCGCAACGACAUCUCGCGAGAGCUGGAUGACCUGGGUGACCGUCUGGAGGAGAGUACCGGACAGACUGUGGCACAGGUUGAGCUGAACAAGAAGCGCGAGGCCGAGCUGGUGAAGAUCCGGCAGGACUUCGAGGAGAUGAAGAUCGCUAACGAGGCCCAGCUGGCAGCCAUGCGGAAGAAAACCGCAGACAGCUUCACGGAGAUGAGCCAGCAGAUCGAGAACCUUCAGCGCGCCAAGGCCAAACUCGAGAAGGACAAGAACACCCUGCGCCUGGAGGUCGACGACCUGUCAGGCAACCUGGAACAACUCACCAAGCAGAAGGUGAACUUCGAGAAGCUGAACCGUAACCUGGAAGAAAACCUGAACGAGGCAAACAUCAAGGUGGACGAACAGAACCGCCAACUGCAGGAGUUCUCUGCCAUGAAGAGCCGCAUGCUGGCCGAGCACAAUGACGUUGUGAGAAACCUGGAGGAGGCUGAGAGCCAGAAUAACCAGCUUAGCAGGACCAAGAGCAUGCUGAUGCAGCAAAUUGAAGAGCUGAAGCGCCAGCUCGAGGAGGAGACCAAGGCCAAGAACCACCUGUCCCACCAGCUGCGUGCCUCCCAGCACGACUGCGACACCUACCGCGAACAGCUGGAGGAGGAGCAGGAGGCCAAGUCCGAGAUGCAGCGCGCCCUCUCCAAAGCGCACACCGAAGUCGCGGCCUGGAGGACCAAGUACGAGACGGAUGCCAUCCAGAGGACGGAGGAGCUGGAGGAGGCUAAGAAGAAGCUGGCACAGCGUCUUCAGGAGGCCGAGGAGAAGGUGGAGAUCUCCAACUCCAGGUGCAGCAGCUUGGAGAAGACCAAGAACAGACUGGCAGCUGAGAACGAGGACCUGAUGAUUGACGUGGAGAAGGCGAACAGCAUCGCGGCGCAGCUGGAGAAGAAGCAGCGCAUGUUCGACAAGAUCGUGUCGGACUGGAGGGUCAAGUGCGAGGAGAUGGGCGUGGAGAUGGAGGAGCUCACCAAGGAGAACAGGACCCUCAACAACGAGCUCAUGAAGCUCAAGACGGCCUACGAGGAGUCCUUCGGCGCUCUAGAGGAGCUGAAGAAGGAGAACAAGACCCUUAAUGACGAAGUCCACGAGAUCAGCGACCACCUGGCAGAGUCGGCCAAGCACCUUCACGAGAUGGAGAAGACGAAGAAGCGUCUGGAGGUGGAGAAGGAGGAGAUGCACACGGCUCUGGAGGAGGCUGAGGGUGCCCUGGAGGUGGAGGAGGGCAAGGUCCUGCGGCUGAACCUGGAGCUGAGCCAGGUGAAGUCUGACAUCGACAGGAGGCUGGCCGAGAAGGAGGAGGAGUUUGAAACAACACGCAAGAACCAUGCGAGAUCCAUCGAGAGCCUGACGACGUCCCUGGAGGUGGAGAGCAAGGGUCGCGCCGAGGCCAUCCGGCAGAAGAAGAAGAUCGAGGCCGACCUGAAUGAGGUCGAAGUUCAGCUGGACACAGCGAACAAGGCCAACUCCGAGGCCAGGAAGCUGCUGGCCAAGUACACCAACCAGCUGCAGGAGAUGCAGGUCGCUCUAGACGAUGAGCAGCGUGCUAAGGAGGAGCUUCGCGAGCGCUGCAGCACGGCCGAGCGCCGCGUGAACAUGUACACCUCCGAGCUGAAUGAGCUUCGCGCACAGAUGGAGAUCGCCGAGAGGAACCGCAAGAUCUGCGAGGCUGAAGUCAUGGAGGCCACCGAGAGGCUGAAUGAGCUGAGUACCCAGAACGCGGCUCUGUCGGCCCACAAGCGGAAGCUGGAGGGAGAGCUGCAGCAGAUGGGCAACGAGCUGGAGGAGACACAGAACGAUGCCAGGCAGACAGAGGAGAAGGCCAAGAAGGCCAUGGCAGAUGCCAGCCGCAUGGCGGACGAGCUGAGGCAGGAGUCGGACAAGGUCACCCACCUGGAGAAGGUCAAGAAGAACCUGGAGGAGAACAUCCGAGACUUCCAGCGCCGCCUGGACGAGGCCGAGACCAUCGCACUGAAGGGCGGGAAACGUCACCUGCAGAAGCUCGAGACUAGGCUCCACGACCUGGAGGCAGAGCUGGACGCUGAGCAGAGGCGCCACCAGGACACCUUAAAGAACCUGCGUAAGAACGAGCGCCGUCUCAAGGAGAUGACCUUCCAGUCGGACGAGGACCGCAAGAACCAGGAGCGCCUCCAGGAGCUGGUGGAGAAACUGCAGCUCAAGAUCAAGACCUACAAGAGGCAGUCCGAGGAAUCGGAGGAGAACGCGAAUGUGAACCUGGCGAAGUUCCGUAAGGUUCAGCACCAGCUGGAGGAUGCCGAGGAGCGCGCCGACAUCGCUGAGAGCGCCCUGGCCAAGCUGCGCGCCAAGUACCACAGCGGCAACCCCACCGCAGGGACCAAGAAGUCCAAGCAGGAGGACUAGAGAACAUGAUGUCAUCUUUCUUCACAAUCGACGGU